CAGGUUCACGCGUCUCAUCGCGUACGAUAUCGUUGCGGUAACGUGCCAUGCCACCGACGAGGAUUCCGAGGCUCUCGAAACGUCGCAAACCCGGCGAGUAUCCGCGUGCCACAUUUUUCUUUCAUAUCUCCACAAAUCACAUACAAAUUCGAGCCCUCGAAUGAAUAAUGAAUUGGAAUUCACCGCGGGAGGGAUGAUACGGAACGUAUGGACUGCGGUGCUUUUAUCACUGGAUUUGAUUGAAAAAAUAGCGAAAUCGUGGCUUUUCGAUGUUGACAAAUCACACAAGAUUUGUGGCGUGUGACGCCGAGAGGAGCGGAGAAGGAGGGGCGAGGGAAAACAGGAAUCACUGCAGCAAACACGAGGCGGAAGCUCAAUCAAAUUGGCAAGGCAAUAUAGCUGCUCUUUUUUUUCAUUUACGACACCAAUAUCCCACGAAAAGGUGCGAGCCGUCAGUCGAAUUUGACCAACUUUAAUGCACGAUAUUUGACGACUGGCCGUGCGAAGGCAAAUUAAUUUUUGCGCGAGAACAGCCAAUCGCCUUUAGCCAACGACUCCGCAACAGCGCUUUGAUCCAACCCGUUUUUAUUCUUCAUUUUGAGAAAUUCGGUACAACGAUGCAGUAUAAUUGAAACGCGGAGAAAAUGCAACGCCGACGUAAAUGAUGGCAACUGCGCAUUGACGGAUUCCUAUCGUGAGAUGCACCCAUGGAACCAAAAGCGCAUAUUCUAUGCACGUACCUUUCCGUAUGUGGGGAAAUAAUUAUUCUUUUUAAAAUGCUAUGAAUAUGACACAGCGAGAGGGAACACUUCACAUUUUACUUGAACCGUUAUUCAAACGUGCGUGUGUUAUGUUUCAAUUUCACUUCAAAUUAAAACGAAACGGUUCGCCUUGUUGAGUAUCGCCGCAUUUUUUCUCAUCGGAAUAUUAGUUGAUUGAAACAACGCGAAUUGGAGGGUUGCGAGAGGCAGAUUGAAACUCACGAAUCGCUGCCUCCGCUCUCGCUUCAAUAUCUUCCAUCUUCACUCGAAUCCUUCAUCAAGAAGAUCCAAUAUCAAUUUAAAUUUCAACGUGCACCAGAAAUGUGUAAUCAAAUUCGAUCGAAAAUCAUUUUGAUUUUAUUUUCAUAGCUUCUUGGUUAAAUAUGUUUCCAAAACGCUUUGACCACAAACAAUUUUGUGAAAAAAAUCGAGGAUCGAAAGAGAAACGACCUUUUUACGGAAAAAUUCAGUGUCUCGGUAUCUCAGUGGGUAAGUAAAGCCACGAAAUGUCGGAAAAUAUGGCAUGUCCGCGAAACAUUGGGAGGCGUGCUUCUAAACACUUCGAUGUGUUCGGUUGAAGCGUGCACUAUGUAAAGUCAAUUGUCCAUGUUCGAGGCGUUUCCCGAAAAAUGAUGUUUUUCGAAUCUCGGUUUUCAGGUUCUACAAAAACUACGAGAUGGAUCGCCUCCUUAAUUUCGAAGUUGAUUUCAUUUAUCGGAGGCUGAACCUCUGUUUUGUGUAGCACUUUGAGGAACGAAUAAAAUGUGUGAAUAACGCUACGGACGA
rnacentral:lncRNA from 1 species